rnacentral:misc_RNA from 1 species
AAUGUCGUAACAAGGUUUCCGUAGGUGAACCUGCGGAAGGAUCAUUAGUUGACAGGCCGUUCGCGCGGGUACCUGAAACCCUCCUUAACAGCGGCCGGAGUUCGGCGCAAGGGUCGAAGCCCCAUCGCGGGGCCGGAGUCCGCCGGAAAUCUCGCAAACCAUGCCUUGAAAGCUGCGGUCUGAGAGAAUGAUGAUUGCGAAAU